AUUGAACGCUGGCGGCAGGCCUAACACAUGCAAGUCGAGCGGAUGAAGGGAGCUUGCUCCUGGAUUCAGCGGCGGACGGGUGAGUAAUGCCUAUGAAUCUGCCUGGUCGUGGGGGAUAACGUCCGGAAACGGGCGCUAAUACCGCAUACGUCCUGAGGGAGAAAGUGGGGGAUCUUCGGACCUCACGCUAUCAGAUGAGCCUAGGUCGGAUUAGCUAGUUGGUGGGGUAAAGGCCUACCAAGGCGACGAUCCGUAACUGGUCUGAGAGGAUGAUCAGUCACACUGGAACUGAGACACGGUCCAGACUCCUACGGGAGGCAGCAGUGGGGAAUAUUGGACAAUGGGCGAAAGCCUGAUCCAGCCAUGCCGCGUGUGUGAAGAAGGUCUUCGGAUUGUAAAGCACUUUAAGUUGGGAGGAAGGGCAGUAAGUUAAUACCUUGCUGUUUUGACGGUACCAACAGAAUAAGCACCGGCUAACUUCGUG
rnacentral:rRNA from 1 species